AGUACCUGAGUACUCAACGUGAUACAUUAGUACCUAAGUAGGUACUCAACGUGAUAAAUUAGUACCUAAGUAGGUACUCAACGUGAUAAAUUAAA